rnacentral:piRNA from 1 species
UGUUGGACUGAAGUGUACAAGUAGAUGGGU